rnacentral:rRNA from 1 species
GACGAACGCUGGCGGCGUGCUUAACACAUGCACGUCGAACGGAAAGGCCCUGCUUUUGUGGGGUGCUCGAGUGGCGAACGGGUGAGUAACACGUGAGUAACCUGCCCUUGACUUUGGGAUAACUUCAGGAAACUGGGGCUAAUACCGGAUAGGAGCUCCUGCUGCAUGGUGGGGGUUGGAAAGUUUCGGCGGUUGGGGAUGGACUCGCGGCUUAUCAGCUUGUUGGUGGGGUAGUGGCUUACCAAGGCUUUGACGGGUAGCCGGCCUGAGAGGGUGGCCGGCCACAUUGGGACUGAGAUACGGCCCAGACUCCUACGGGAGGCAGCAGUGGGGAAUAUUGCACAAUGGGCGGAAGCCUGAUGCAGCAACGCCGCGUGCGGGAUGACGGCCUUCGGGUUGUAAACCGCCUUCGCCUGUGACGAAGCGUGAGUGACGGUAAUGGGUAAAGAAGCACCGGCUAACUACGUG